rnacentral:rRNA from 1 species
UACAGAGGUCCCGAGCGUUGUUCGGAUUUAUUGGGCGUAAAGGGUGCGUAGGCGGCGGAGUAAGUUGGGUGUGAAAUCCCGGGGCUCAACCUCGGAAUGGCAUUCAAUACUGCUUCGCUAGAGUACUGGAGAGGAGGCUGGAAUUUACGGUGUAGCAGUGAAAUGCGUAGAUAUCGUAAGGAAGGCCGGUGGCGAAAGCGAGCCUCUGGACAGUUACUGACACUGAGGCACGAAGGCCAGGGGAGCAAACGGG